UGAUGGAAGAAGGCAUUGAUGUGUCAGACGACGAGGCGCAAAGGUUUAGAGAUAACGAUGUACAACAUUGAAGGUACAGUUGAAGGUCCAGUGUCCCAAGCAAACCAGAGUUCUAUACCUUCUUGCCUGCAGUUAUUUCCAUUCCAAAAUUCCCACAAGAUGUCCAGAGUCGCUUGGAUCUCAAAGAACCAGUCCAGAAAGAACAGAAGUACCGAAACAAAAUAAUUGGGACUCUUUAUGAAAUGCUGUCACAGUACACAAUGUACCCAACCCACUCAGACUACAUCCAGGUCAUCAAAGCCCUGAUUGUGAAGUAUCCUUUCUUAAGAGAUGUACACGGAAAUGGUUAUGACACCUGGCACAGCCAACUCAAGAGAAAGUUCAAAGCAGAACGGGCUCCCCUAAUCAGCAACGAAGAAGUGAACCGGGUUAAAGAAAAG